UCUCUGUCUCACCAAAAAUUUUAGAAUAUUUAUAUUACUGAUGUGAUGUAAGUGUUAUACAGUAAAUUUUUUUUUUUUUUUCACACACAUGUAUUAGAGAUUUUAGCCUAGCUAGUACUCCGGACAAAAGAAAAAAACUAGUAUAGUACUCCAAUUGAUAGAAAAGUCUAUCGUAUAAAUUUGAAUUUGCAACACGUGACAGAAAUUUAUUCUUUUUACGUCGGUAACGUAUUUCAUCACCCACACCCCCAUCCUCAAAAAAA
rnacentral:lncRNA from 1 species